GAGCCUCAGCGCUGGGAGAAUGCUUUUUUCACUGUGUUUUCCUCUUCCUUUUGACCCGUUUGCUAACUUGUCUCACUUACUUUUUUGUUUUUUGUUUCUUUCAACUCUGUUAUCACCGACUAUGUUCCUGUCCGUCUCAGGUUUUCAUCUGCUUGCCCACUUGCCCACACCUGUUUCUGUGCCUCCUUUGUGGGGUGGCUCAGGAGAGGAGUUCUGAUAGUCUGAGAUGUUCUUCAUGUAUAGAAUCCCAGAACCACCCUGUCCUUUCUUUCUGCCUGCCAUUCCCCUGAUUUCUGUAAAGUUAAGGAUUUGCUGCUUUAGAAAACAUUUUCUUUUUAUGUCUCUGGAGCCACCUUCUUCAGUAAAGCCAGGUUUGGCAACCUGACAGCUUAUUAGGGACAGCAUCCCAGUUUCUCUGGUGAUGGGGUCUUAGCUGUGUCCUCUUGACCUAUCAGGAAUGCCAUAUAUUCAGACCCUGUCUUGGGAGAGAUCUGGGAAGGAAGGCACUUGUUAAUUUUGGACAGUGAAUUUGGUUUUCAAAGUAUGUCCCUAAGGCCCUUUCAGGUGGUACAUAUGGUCAGAAUUAUUUUCAUCCUAACACACAUUAUUUGCCUUUUUCACUCUUACUCUUUCACAAGAGUGAGUUUUUCAGAGGCUAAAUGAUGUGUGAUGACAUCAUUGCUCUUUUGGCUUAUGAAAUGUGCACUUGUGAACUGUGUUGUCUAGAAUUUUUAAGGUAGUACUUUAAGGUACAAAUGUGGAAGUUUUCAGUGAACUCCGUUUAUUCUCCAUACUUCUACCACGCCCUCACUAGCUGUCUCCAGUUUUACCUGCUAUCAUCUGUGUAACUUCAUUAUUGUCCAAUAAAUUGUUAUUUUGAAGUCCCAGCAUUUUCCUGGCAUCUGUGAGGAAACACGACAAGAAGAUCGAUAGUUGGCUUUAAAAAGGGAGAUUUGAAGACUUGCUUCUCAACCCACAGCUUCAGCCUCUGUGUGUAAAGAUAAACUGAAGGUGUCAUAUCAGGAAGUGAAAGGGAGGAGACUACUCCAAAGAAGCUGGGGAAAACUGAAAUAAGAAAUGAGAAAAGAAAAUGUGAUGAAGUCUAUCUUCCCUCGGCUAUGUGGAUGUUAACAGUGCGCCUUACUCUGUCUCAUGGAGCAGAAUGUCUUUGUGUAGGAUUAUGAUGCCAGUUAAGUCGUGGCAUCAUUUGGAGACCAGUCAUUCAGAAUGUAAGGAAAAAGGCAUUGAGUAUUUUAAGUGUAUACACUGUGAGCCUUUUGAAAACCAAAAAUGGUUCCAGCUUUUCAAACUGGAAAUGGAAAAGCCCCUGACUUACAGGAUAAGUUGUUACAUCGCUUUGCUUGGAGAAGCCCACACAAUAGCUGAGAGACUAGCCAAGUCUUCAGAUUGCUGAAUGCCCGCUGGAUGAAAAGUCAGUGAAAAAAUCAGGGCAGUGCCACUUCCAAGGUUACCUUGACUCAAAUUAAAGAUUUCGCUGCAAACAUGAAGACAGAGUUAAUAUCUUGUUUAGAAAUUUUACUUUUGCCUUACAAAUGAGCAGAUCUACAGACGCGGCUGGACUUGCUGUAUCAGCACCAACUACUCUUCGAAGAAUAUUUUCUCCUGUGUAGAUGCUCGGCAGCAAACAAGUGGUGAUAAAUAUUCAAAGGGUUGAAUAACUUUUUUGAAUCUCCUGGUUUAUCCUGGAACUACUUUGUUUACAUUCACGCUGUUGGUGCAGAAGUGUGGCAGAGAACACUGUUGGCACCAUAGCAUGAAUCAAGGAAGUGGCACCAGUUAAGUACUGUAGUCAUCGUAUCCUUCCUUGCCACAUGCUUGUGGUUAAAAAAAAGCCAUUUCACUUAAGAAUGUCCUGGAUGACACACUAAAAACGAUUGAUUUUAUUAAAACUCAACUCUCUCAUGAAUGUUUCUUUAAUAUUCUGAGUGAUGAAAUGGAAGGUAUCCAUGAAAUAUUACUGCUACUAACUAUAGUACAAUGAUUGUCUUGAGGAAGAGCAUUUGUGUGAUUGAGUGGAACCAGCAGCAUGAAACAUCAUUUUUACUUGAGAGAGCAACUGACAGACAAACCAUGAUUUUCUUGAACAUUUUCUUGAAAGUUAACAAAGUAAGCCUGACACUUUUGCUGGUUAAUAAAGUUCAAGUUUUUGAACAAAAAUCAGAAUUUUGGAAAACUUGUGGCUGUCACGGUGAACUUGAGACCUUCAGAAUACUUGAAGAUUGGUGGUAAAAUUAAUGAAUGUGAUUUUUUGAUAUACAAUGUCAUAUUUGGAAAUUCUGCAUAAUUCAGUGAAGAAUCUUUUCCAAAUUGCCAGUGGGCAGAAGAGCCACCGAAAGUGCAAGAUGACCACUGGAUUUUAAUGUAAAAGUAUGCAAAAGGUUCAUCGAUAAGAUUCCAGAUGCAGCUAAUCUUUAAAAACUACCAUUUGUUGAGUUUUGGUCUAGUAUCAAAGAAGGAAAUCCUCAGCAUCUGAAAGAUUAUUAAACUUUAUUUUCCACCUAUAGGUCUGUGUGAAAUCGGAUUGUCUUCAUCUACUUCAACCAAAACAACAUAUCGAAAUACACUGAAUGCAGAAGCAGUUAUAAUAAGUCAGCUGUCUUCCAGUUAAAGCAGAUAUUAAAGAGGUGUGCAAGAAUGUAAAACACUGCAACUCUUCUCAUGAAAUUUCUUUUUGUUCUGGAAAUCUAGUUUUUUAAAAUAUAUAUAUAAAAAUAGAUUAUUUGUAUAAACUUGUAAUGACUUAUUGUUAUUUUCAGUGAAUUAAUAAAUAUCUUUUUAAAAUUAUAAGAUUUAAUUUCUAAUAAGGUAACUGUUAAUAACUAUAAUCCACAUAAAAGAUCUUUGAGGUUCUCAGUAAUUUUUAAGAGUGUAAAGGAUUCGUAAGACCAGAAAGUGAGAAAACCAGUGUUGCAGACAAAACUUGGGUUGAUUAUCUGUGAUCUUGAUUGGUUGGUUACUUGCCAUGACUUCAUUAGGAGCCUUUGUUUUGCAGUUUCCCACCCCUUUCUGGGCUUUAAGAAGGUACUUGAUACUUUGGUUUGCUGUCCUAGUUCAGGAAGCUGGUUCUCAGUAACCUGAGGGACUUUGACCAAAGUUAGCUUAUUUUCUUCUGAUACAUAUAGCAUUGGCCUUGUUGUUUUUUUAUUUUUUUAUUUGUUUGUAUAUUAUUUUUUUCUUUAUUCUUUUAAGGCUUUUUCUCAUUUUGCUUGUUUAUUUUACUUCUAAUUUUUCUCAUUUUUCCUUUUUUUAUUCUCAUUUUUCUUUUUUAUUCUUUUUCUCUUUUUUUAAAUUUAGUUUGUUAGUCCUUGUUUUUGUUUUUUAUGUUUGUCUAGCAUUGUGUUUUGAUCAUGUAAGAUCAGUUUUGUUAGGUGGACUUCUUUGGUAUAUAUGAAGUUGUAGUUUGAUAAAUACAGUUUUUUCAUUAAAAAUAAGUUACUCAUUACAUGGCAUGAGUUUAAAUGAAUUAAUACCAAAAACCAUUGCCAUUGAGUUGAUUCCUACUCAUAGUGACCCUGUUAUAGGACAGAGUAGAACUGCCCCAUAGGGUUUCCAAGGAGCAGCUGGUAGAUUUAAACUGCUGACCUUUGGUUGGCAGCCAAGCUCUUAACCACUGUGCCACCAGGGCUGCAAUGAAUUAAUACAUAUUUAAAUCUUCUCUAAUUUUAAUUUCCACUGUAGUAAAUAUUGGUAAAUAUAAUGAGUAUGAACACAGCUUUUGGGAGACUCUAUUUUUAGCAAUACAAAGGGUUUCUGAAACCAAAAAGUGUAAGAAUCACUGUUGGAGACAAAAUAUGGGUUCAUUCUCCCUGGGUUUGGUAGGUUGAUUCCUUGAUGACUUCAUAAGAAACCUUUGUCUUGCAGUUCCUGGCCCCUAUUUAGUCCUGGCUGGGCCUCAGGGAGACACUGGCUGCCUUGGUUUGCAGUCCUUCUAGCUGAGGAAGCUGGUCCUCAGUGACCCAAGGGACUUUUACCAAAUUUGGUUUGUUUCUACCUCCUAAUACAUAGCAUUGUGAGCUUUAAAAAAAAAAAAAAAGUUUUUUUAUUUAUUUAAUUGUUUAUUUUGAGAUAGUUUUAAAUUUACAGAAGAGCUGCAAAAAUAGCCCAAAGAGUUCCUGUACAUUCUUUACCCAGCAUCCCCUUAUAUCAAUAUCCUGCACAACCAUAGAACAUGUAUCAAAACUAAGAAUUAAUCUUGGUAUAAUACUAUUAACCAAAGUACAGAAAUUCAGAUUCAUCUGUUUUUCCACUAAUGUGUUUUUUUUGCUCUAGGAUCCAACCCAGGAUCCCACAUUGUGUCAUGUCUCCAUAGUCUCCUCCAAUCUGUGACUGUUUCUCAGUCUUUCUUGAUGUUGGCAAUUUUGAAGAAUACUUGUAGUUAUUUUAUAGAAUGUUCUUCAGUUGUAGUCUUCUGUAAUUUUCUUAUGGCCUUGUACUUUAUCAUUUUAAAGAUUAGCUUACUUGGACUUCACUAUGAUAUGUAUUAAGCUGAUAUUUUGGAAAAUAGUUAUUUUUCAUAAAAAUUACAUAAUGUUUACUUGUGAUGGAUUUAGUAAUAUUUUAAAUGAAUUAACAUUUUCUCAGUUUUAAUUUCUAAUACGGGAAGUAUUAAUAUCUAUACCGCACAUAAACAAAAGCUAUUUGAGACACUUAAUAAUUAAGAGUGGUAAAGGAUUUCCAGACAAAAGUAUGAGAAUCCCUUUUUGACAAAUACAGGGUUGAUUGUCCCUGACCUUGAUUGGUUGGUUAUUUGCUGUGACCUCAUAAUGAGCCUUUGUCUUGUAAUUCCCAGCCCCUGUUUAGUCCAUGGAGCUGUAGUCUUGCAGUGGUUAAGAGCUUGGCUACUCACCAAAAGGUCGGAAGUUCGAAUCCACCAGUCACUCCUUGGAAACCCAGUGGGGCGGUUCUACUCUGUCCUAUAGGGUCACUAUGAGUCGGAAUUGACUUUAACAGCAAUGGGUUUUUGUUUUUGUUUUUGUUUUUUUUUGUUAUUUAGCCCUAGCUGGGCCUGAGGUAGAUACUCACUGCCUUGGUUUGCAGUUCUAGCUGAGGAGGCUGGUUCUCAGUGACCUGAGGGACUUUGACCAAAUUUGGCUUGUUUCCUCCUUCUAAUACAUGACAUGGCCUUUUUUUUUUUUUUUUUUUUAAUCUAUUAAAAAGAU